rnacentral:rRNA from 1 species
ACAAUAAAUAACAAUGGUGACGACUUUGUCGUAACCAAUUGGAAUGAGAACAAUUUAAACCCCUUAACGACGAUCCACUGGAGGGCAAGUCUGGUGCCAGCAGCCGCGGUAAUUCCAGCUCCAGUAGCGUAUACUAAUGUUGCUGCAGUUAAAAAGCUCGUAGUUGGAUUUCUGGUUGAUAAUGAUGGUCCGAGUGUACCUUCGGGUUCCUUGAGUAUCGUUUCUUAUCUGCCAUCCUCUUAGUAUUGUUGACUUCGGUCUUCAGUUCUGAGACUUUUACUUUGAAAAAAUUAGAGUGUUUAAAGCAAGCUUGCGCGAUGAAUACAUUAGCAUGGAAUAAUAAUAUAGGACUACGGGUUCUAUUUUGUUGGUUUCUAGACCUGAAGUAAUGAUUGAUAGGGAUAGUUGGGGGUGCUAGUAUUGAGAGGCCAGAGGUGAAAUUCUUUGAUUCUCUCAAGACUAACUUAUGCGAAAGCAUUCACCAAGGAUGUCUUCUUUAAUCAAGAACGAAAGUUGGGGGAUCGAAGACGAUCAGAUACCGUCGUAGUCUCAACCAUAAACUAUACCGACUCAGGAUGCGUGUUCGUUGCAUAUUCGACUUCAUGCGCACUGUAUGAGAAAUCAAAGUCUUUGGGUUC